CCAAGUACUGUGCUUGAAAAUUUGGUGUACAUUGCCUCUCAAUUAAUCCUGGAAACAGCUUCCUGGGAUAGGACUUUUUUAGUGUUUAGGAAACCAAGAAGAUUUUGCUGAAACUCACAUAGCUACUAAGGGUUCACUGUAAUUUAUUCUCAUAACUUUGAUCCCCUGCUCCUCACAACUGAUUCUGAAAAAAGUUGUUCUACUCUAAGAAGAUUUACAUGUUCAUUAUGUGCAAAUGAUGAAAGGAGCAAUAAAAAGCAGACAAUAAAAUAUAAAAAUUAAAUUUCCACCAUUGAGAUGUUACCAUAUUUCUGUGUGUUACUGACCCAGGGACACUUUACCACUGAGCUACAUCUCUACCCUUUUGAGACAGGUCUAAGUCAUUGAGGCUGGCAUUGAACUUGAGAUCCUCCUGCCUUCACCUCCUGAGUUGCUGGGAUUACAGGAAAAGGCCACUGCACCUGACUAUAACCACUGUUGAGGUAUAAAUAUUCUUGCAGCUUUGUACCCCCAUACUAUGUGAAUUUUUUUAAUGCUGGGGAUCAUUGAAGAGAUCAAAGUAUUUCUGGAAAUAUUUUUCUGCCUACCAUUAUGAUAAAUCUGUAUGACUGUAACCAUAAUGGUUUCCUGGUUUUGGAGGACUCCAGUGAGACAAGAAUCCCAUUCCAUUGUGCACUAGCUGUGUACUUUUGGACAAACCCCAUAACCUUUCUGAGUCCCAGGCUGCUCAUCUCAGGACUGCCAUGAGGUUCAGCCAUGAUUGUGUGGAUGAAGCCUCUCCUUGACCCAGUGCCUGGUACUCUCUGUACUCCAGCCACACUUUACAGGCCUGAGUUCCUCUCCUACCCUGAGCAGUCCCAGAGCUCCCUGGGGACUUUGCCCAGUUACCCUGCCCCUUUGGCUGAGGGAAAAAAGGCUCAACUCAAACUAAUGAAAGUUAUUUUUUUUAUAUAAAUUAAUUUUAUUUUAUCUUUUACACAAAUGGAACACAACUUUUCAUUUCUCUGGUUGUACAUGGUGAAGAGUCACACCAUGUGUGCAAUCAUACCCAUAUAUAAAGGAAAUAAUGUCCAUUCUACCAUCUCCCCCCUCCCAUACACCCUCCUCUCCUCUCCCUCCCCUCCCUCCCCUUUGCUGAAUCCAAAAUUCCUUCAUUCUUCCCUUGUCCCCCUCCACCAACAAUGUAAGUUUUUGACUCUUAAAAGGAUCAGCCUCAUUUUCGGUUUCACAGAGGCCUUGUGUGCUCUCCCCUGCCCUGCCCCCAGUACUAGGGAUUGAACCCAGGACCUUAUACACUGAGCUAUACCCCUCAGCCCUAUUUAUUUAUUUGUUUAUUUGUUUAUUUUUUGGUGCUGGGAUUUGAAACCAGGAACUAUUAACCCUGAGUUAUAUCUGAGAGUUUUUUUUUUUUUCUUUUAAACAGGCUUCUGCUAAAUUGCCCAGGUGAGCCUCCAACUUGUGAUCUUCCUGUCUCAGCCAUGAGUCAUUGGGAUUACAGGCUUGUGCAACCCUGCCCAGCUCCUUGGUCUCUCUUGAGGAACUUGGAACAUACUCCAUCCCCUCCUCCAUCCUUAGCCAGCAUCCCCACCAUCUGGACCCUCUCAUACCCCACAGGGAUUUCCUUGUCCCCUUGGAACUGAGGCUGAUCUGAGUCCAGCUUCUGCUGACUAAAGUUGCCAUCUGCUCUCCAGCAUGCCUGCCUUACCCAGCCCAGCCAGGAGCCCCUUGGCUGGCAUGCUCCUCCCUCAUUCUGGACCCAGGUGCCACAGAGGUGGUUUACACGGUUCUUAAUUUGGUAGUCUCUUGUUUGGUAAAGGUCAAAUUCCUGGAUACCCUCACAUUUCUAACUCUCUGAAUAUCAGAGCAUCCAGGAUCCUAGUUUCUUUUUGUACUUAUGUGUGCAUGUACUAUAGCAAAAUUGGAAACUAUAGUUAAACAAAAGGAAGAAAAUAAAAAUUUCUGUCCCAGGCUAAGCA
rnacentral:lncRNA from 1 species